rnacentral:rRNA from 1 species
CAGUCGCCGCGGGAAUACGUAGGGUGCGAGCGUUAAUCGGAAUUACUGGGCGUAAAGCGUGCGCAGGCGAUUAUACAAGUCAGAUGUGAAAUCCCCGGGCUCAACCUGGGACCUGCAUUUGUGACUGUAUAGCUAGAGUACGGUAGGGGGGGAUGGAAUUCCGCGUGUAGCAGUGAAAUGCGUAGAUAUGCGGAGGAACACCGAUGGCGAAGGCAAUCCCCUGGACCUGUACUGACGCUCAUGCACGAAAGCGUGGGGAGCAAACAGGAUUAGAUACCCGCGUAGUCCCUGUCUCUUAUAC